UUGGUUAAGUUAGAAAGGGCGCACGGUGGAUGCCUUGGCACUAGGAGCCGAAGAAGGACGGGACUAACACCGAUAUGCUUUGGGGAGCUGUACGUAAGCGUUGAUCCAGAGAUUUCCGAAUGGGGGAACCCACUAUCUUUAGUCGGAUAGUAUCCUUACGUGAAUACAUAGCGUGAGGAAGGCAGACCCAGGGAACUGAAACAUCUAAGUACCUGGAGGAAGAGAAAGAAAAAUCGAUUUCCUGAGUAGCGGCGAGCGAAACGGAAAGAGCCCAAACCAAGAAGCUUGCUUCUUGGGGUUGUAGGACACUCUAUACGGAGUUACAAAAGAAAGUUAUAAAUGAAGCGGUCUGGAAAGGCCCGCCAAAGACGGUAACAGCCCGGUAGUUGAAAUGGCUUUCCCUCCAGAGUGGAUCCUGAGUACGGCGGAACACGUGAAAUUCCGUCGGAAUCCGGGAGGACCAUCUCCCAAGGCUAAAUACUCCCUAGUGACCGAUAGUGAACCAGUACCGUGAGGGAAAGGUGAAAAGCACCCCGGAAGGGGAGUGAAACAGUUCCUGAAACCGUGUGCCUACAAGUAGUUAGAGCCCGUUAAUGGGUGAUAGCGUGCCUUUUGUAGAAUGAACCGGCGAGUUACGAUUUGUUGCAAGGUUAAGCGGAAAAAGCGGAGCCGUAGCGAAAGCGAGUCUGAAUAGGGCGCAUAAGUAACAGGUCGUAGACCCGAAACCAGGUGAUCUACCCAUGUCCAGGAUGAAGGUAAGGUAAUACUUACUGGAGGUCCGAACCCACGCACGUUGAAAAGUGCGGGGAUGAGGUGUGGGUAGCGGAGAAAUUCCAAUCGAACUUGGAGAUAGCUGGUUCUCUCCGAAAUAGCUUUAGGGCUAGCCUCGAGGUAAAGAGUCAUGGAGGUAGAGCACUGUUUGGACUAGGGGCCCUUCUCGGGU
rnacentral:rRNA from 1 species